AGCGAACGCUGGCGGAAGGCCUAACACAUGCAAGUCGAACGAACUCUUCGGAGUUAGUGGCGGACGGGUGAGUAACACGUGGGAAAGUGCCUUUAGGUUCGGAAUAACUCAGGGAAACUUGUGCUAAUACCGAAUGUGCCCUUCGGGGGAAAGAUUUAUCGCCUUUAGAGCGGCCCGCGUCUGAUUAGCUAGGUGGUGAGGUAGCGACUCACCAAGGCGACGAACAGUAGCUGCUCUGAGAGGAUGACCAGCCACACUGGGACUGGGGCACGGGCGUGACUCCUACGAGAGGCAGCAGUGUGGAAUCUUGCGCAAUCGGCGAAGGCCUGACCAAGCCAUGCCGCGUGAAUGAGUACGGUCUUAGGAUUGUAAAAUUCUUUCACCGGGUUCGUUAAUGGCGGUACCCGGCCAACAAGCCCCGGCUAUCUUCGUGCCAGAAGCCGCCGUAACAC
rnacentral:rRNA from 1 species